rnacentral:rRNA from 1 species
GAUCAUGGCUCAGAGUGAACGCUGGCGGCAGGCCUAAUACAUGCAAGUCGAACGGCAGCACAGCAGAGCUUGCUCUGUGGGUGGCGAGUGGCGGACGGGUGAGGAAUACAUGGGAAUCUGCCCAGUUGUGGGGGAUAACGUAGGGAAACUUACGCUAAUACCGCAUGCGCCCUUCGGGGGAAAGCCGGGGACCUUCGGGCCUGGCGCGAUUGGAUGAGCCCAUGUCGGAUUAGCUAGUUGGCGGGGUAAUGGCCCACCAAGGCGACGAUCCGUAGCUGGUCUGAGAGGAUGAUCAGCCACACUGGAACUGAGACACGGUCCAGACUCCUACGGGAGGCAGCAGUAGGGAAUAUUGGACAAUGGGCGCAAGCCUGAUCCAGCCAUGCCGCGUGAGUGAAGAAGGCCCUCGGGUUGUAAAGCUCUUUUGUCCGGAAAGACAAGCGCCGGGUUAAUACCCUAGUGUCCUGACGGUACCGGAAGAAUAAGCACCGGCUAACUUCGUG